CCCGCACAAGCGGUGGAGCAUGUGGUUAAUUCGACGCAACGCGAAGAACCUUACCAGGGCUUGACAUCCCCUGACCGCGUAUGAAAGUACGUUUUCACCCUCGGGUGACAGGGAGACAGGUGGUGCAUGGUUGUCGUCAGCUCGUGUCGUGAGAUGUUGGGUUAAGUCCCGCAACGAGCGCAACCCCUACGUUUAGUUGCUAACAGGUGAAGCUGAGCACUCUAGACGAACUGCCGUUGACAAAACGGAGGAAGGUGGGGAUGACGUCAAAUCAUCAUGCCCCUUAUGUUCUGGGCUACACACGUGCUACAAUGGCCGGUACAGACGGAGGCGAAGCCGCGAGGCGGAGCAAAUCCGAAAAAGCCGGUCUCAGUUCGGAUUGCAGGCUGCAAUUCGCCUGCAUGAAGUCGGAAUCGCUAGUAAUCGCAGGUCAGCUAUACUGCGAUGAAUACGUUCCCGGGGCUU
rnacentral:rRNA from 1 species